GAUGAACGCUGGCGGCGUGCCUAAUACAUGCAAGUCGAGCGAACAGAUGAGGAGCUUGCUCCUCUGACGUUAGCGGCGGACGGGUGAGUAACACGUGGAUAACCUACCUAUAAGACUGGGAUAACUUCGGGAAACCGGAGCUAAUACCGGAUAAUAUAUUGAACCGCAUGGUUCAAUAGUGCACGCCGGUUUUGCUGUCACUUAUAGAUGGAUCCGCGCCGCAUUAGCUAGUUGGUAAGGUAACGGCUUACCAAGGCAACGAUGCGUAGCCGACCUGAGAGGGUGAUCGGCCACACUGGAACUGAGACACGGUCCAGACUCCUACGGGAGGCAGCAGUAGGGAAUCUUCCGCAAUGGGCGAAAGCCUGACGGAGCAACGCCGCGUGAGUGAUGAAGGUCUUCGGAUCGUAAAACUCUGUUAUUAGGGAAGAACAAAUGUGUAAGUAACUAUGCACGUCUUGACGGUACCUAAUCAGAAAGCCACGGCUAACUACGUG
rnacentral:rRNA from 1 species